GGUGGAAGAAUCUUGAAGGGCAUGCAAGCAUACCAGCCUUUUGGAAGAAGUCCAUUGUCUCCAUCACUGAUGUCUUGUGACAUGAGGUCAGUGUACAAGAAGGCAAUUCUGGAGCCCUCAUUACUCCAGAAGAACUCAUUCAAGGCAGUUUUGUGUCCUUUUAAAAAUCCUGUCAGGCUUUUGCCUUCACUAAACAUCAGCAACUGCAUGACUCGGGAGUACCACCAAGCACCAGAGCAGAGGACUAAAUGGGCUCCUUGGCAUCUCUGCAAGGUGCCCCCUUUGUCUGCAGUCAUACACUCACCUCCUGAGGAUGCUGCAGCUUCCUCCAGCCAGGGCUGUGCAGCCAAGAAGAAGGUGGACUGAUCAUGGACUGGGUGUGUAGACUUUACAGAAAGCCCAGGAGAAACCCUGGACUAUGGCAGUCUAAGUACCUGUCUAUCAAGUACCUGUCAACUAACCAGCCAAAACCCACUUUCAAAAGAUGUUUUCCUUAUGGAAUUCUACACCCUGAAGACAAUGACAUAUGUGAUAACAGCAAUAAAAGAAUUCAUAUCACACCA
rnacentral:lncRNA from 1 species